AUUGAACGCUGGCGGCAGGCCUAACACAUGCAAGUCGAGCGGAUGAAGGGAGCUUGCUCCUGGAUUCAGCGGCGGACGGGUGAGUAAUGCCUAGGAAUCUGCCUGGUAGUGGGGGAUAACGUCCGGAAACGGGCGCUAAUACCGCAUACGUCCUGAGGGAGAAAGUGGGGGAUCUUCGGACCUCACGCUAUCAGAUGAGCCUAGGUCGGAUUAGCUAGUUGGUGGGGUAAAGGCCUACCAAGGCGACGAUCCGUAACUGGUCUGAGAGGAUGAUCAGUCACACUGGAAGUGAGACAGGGACAAGAGGACUAAGGGAGGCAGCAGUGGGGAAUAGGGGACAAUGGGCGAAAGCAUGAUACAGCGAGGGCGCGUGUGAGAAGGAGGUGUUCGGAGUGUAAAGCACGUUAAGGGGGGGGGAAGGGCAGUAAGUUAAGACGUUGCGGGUGUGACGUUACCAGCAGAAGAAGCACCGGCUAACUUCGUG
rnacentral:rRNA from 1 species